AAAUAAGUGGGGGAGAAAGUUGUGUCUCUCCGAGACGGUUCGAAUGUGAAGAAGUUAGGAUGGAUGGAGAUGCUCUUGAAGGAGAUUGUUCAAGAUUGAUUGGUGUUGUUCGAAGUGGAAGGAACUUGGACAGCAAGUUGUGAGGAUUUCUAGAUGAGAAGUUGUUGGACUAAGUGUUCGUCAUGGGAUCAACACUGAGAUUGGUUAAGAAAGAUAAAGACCGUUUGGAAACAAUUGGAGAUCGUGUAGUGUACAAAAGAGUAUGGACUAGAGGCGGAUGAGAACUACAAGAAUUUCUCAGAAGCAAUACCAUGGAAUGGAAGGAGUAGGACGUUGUCGUUCAGACAAGUUGAGUAAUGACGAGUAGACGUCAAUUUGAUAAGGGAUUGAAAGUAAAGGUCUUAAUUGGAGAGUAUUUUGGAGGAAAUAUUAGAUGAUCAUUCCGGAAGAUUCAGAAUGAGUCGAACUAAAGUUGUUUAGCCGUAAAGAGAAUGUGACCAUUGUGGAAUGAUGGAACGGAUAGAGAUGUUAAAUGGAAACCGUUGUUGAAAAACGGAGAAGACGUUGUGCGUUAAGAGUAGGCGAACCUAGUGAUGAUUAGGUGAAGGUUAUAAGAAUGGUGGGAAUACCUAUAGAGUUGUAUCGGUGUGAGCUAAACUUGUUAAUUAUUAGCAAGUGANNNAAGUAAACAUUUUGAAUAGUUCGAAGAGACUAGUCAGAUUGGAAUAGAGAUUUUGUGUGGAUGAACUUUAGGAUGUUAUGACUUUAAGAUAGUCACGAGAUGCGAAUAAGAACUGAUCGAAUGGAGAAAAGUAUGUUUGUCACAGUGAAGAACAAUAAGGAACGUGACUAGUUGGAUUGUGUGCGACAAAUAAGGACGUUGUUGUAAUCAACAAGAUAUGAACUGUGGUUGUUUGGAAAUCAACUUUUGGAUAGUCACC
rnacentral:lncRNA from 1 species